GAUGAAGAACGCAGCGAAAUGCGAUAAGUAAUGUGAAUUGCAGAAUUCAGUGAACCAUCGAAUCUUUGAACGCACAUUGCGCCCGGCAGUAAUCUGCCGGGCAUGCCUGUCCGAGCGUCAUUUCUGCCCUCGAGCGAGUCCAGCAUCUAGGUGCUGGGCCCGCCCGGCGUUGGGGCACUACGGGAAGCCCUGUGCUGUCCCCCGUAGGCCCCGAAAUGAAGUGGCGGUCCUGCCGCGGCGCCCCCUGCGUAGUAUAACAGCGCGCUUCGGGACCCGGUGGAGGCCUGCCGUCAAACCUUACUCUCUAAGUUUGACCUCGGAUCAGGUAGGGUUACCCGCUGAACUUAAGCAUAUCAAUAAGCGGAGGA
rnacentral:misc_RNA from 1 species